rnacentral:rRNA from 1 species
AUGAUAGACUUCACGGCGCUGGUCUCUCUCUUCUUCGUCCUCCUCAUCCUCAAGCUGGUCACCGGUCGCUACGCAUCACCCAUCCGCGGGCAGCGGCUGCCCCCGGGCCCAUGGCAGCUGCCACUCAUCGGCAGCCUGCACCACCUCCUGCUUUCGCGCUCCGGGGGCCUGCCGCACCGGGCCAUGCGCGACCUCUCCCGCGCCCACGGCCCGCUCAUGCUCCUCCGGCUCGGCGCCGUGCCCACGCUCAUCGUCUCCUCCGCCGAGGCCGCCAGGGAGGUGAUGAGGACCCACGACGCCGCCUUCGCCAGCCGCCACCUCAGCGCCACGCUCGACAUCAUCACCUGCGGCGGCAAGGGCAUCCUCUUCUCCCCCUACGACGACCGCUGGCGCGAGCUCCGCAGAGUCUGCGUGCACGAGCUCUUCAGCCAGCCCCGGGUGCUCUCCUUCCGCCCCGUCCGGGAGGACGAGGUCGCGCGCCUCCUGCACGCCGUCUCCGACGGGUGCCGCGGCGGCCGUGCCGUCAACCUCAGCGAGAAGAUGUGCCGCAUGAUCACCGACUCCGUGGUGCGCGCGGCCAUUGGCGAGAGGUGCGACCACCGCGACGAGUUCUUGCACGAGCUCGACGAGGCCGUGCGGCUCACCGGCGGCAUCAACCUCGCCGACCUGUACCCCUCGUCGCGGCUCGUGCGCCGGCUCAGCGUCGCCGCGCGGGACAUGGUCAAGUGCCAGAGGAACAUCUACCGCAUCGUGCAGAGCAUUAUAAGAGUAAGAGAACGCGCCGGCGCGCCGGAGCCAGAGAGAGAUGAGGACCUGCUCGGCGUCCUCCUCAAGCUGCAGAAGGACGGCGGCCUGCAGUUUGAACUCACCACCGAGAUGAUCACAGCCGUCAUUUUGGACGUUUUUUCUGCUGGGAGCGAGACAACGUCGACGACCUUAGAGUGGGCCAUGUCGGAGCUUAUGAAAAACCCACGGGUGCUACAUAAGGUGCAGUCGGAGGUGAGAGAGGCCUUCAAGGGAAAAGAUAAGCUCACCGAAGAGGACAUCGUCAAGGUGAGGCUGGGCUAUCUCCAACUAGUGAUCAAGGAGGCUCUAAGGCUGCACCCGCCGGGGCCGCUCCUGCUCCCACGGGAGUGUCGCGAGACAUGUCGGGUGAUGGGCUACGACGUGCCCAAGGGCACCAAGGUGGUUGUGAACGUGUGGGCGAUGGGGAGGGACGACAUGUACUGGGGUGACGCAGAGGCAUUCAGGCCAGAGAGAUUCGAAAACAGCACCGUCGACUUCAAGGGCGCCGAUUUCGAGUUCCUCCCGUUCGGAGCUGGCCGGAGGAUGUGCCCCGGCAUGUCGCUCGCGAUGGCCAACAUGGAGUUGUCGCUAGCUAGUCUCCUUUUCCACUUUGAUUGGGAGCUGCCCUGUGACAUGAGGCCCGAAGAUAUGGACAUGACAGAGACUUUCGGUAUCACAGUGAGAAGGAAGUUCAAGCUCUCGGUGCACGCAAAAUCCCACGUCCCAUGUGGAAAUUGA